GAUGAACGCUGGCGGCGUGCCUAAUACAUGCAAGUCGAGCGAACAGAUGAGGAGCUUGCUCCUCUCACGUUAGCGGCGGACGGGUGAGUAACACGUGGAUAACCUACCUAUAAGACUGGGAUAACUUCGGGAAACCGUAGCUAAUACCGGAUAAUAUAUUGAACCGCAUGGUUUAAUAUUGAAAGGCGGUUUUGCUGCCCCAUAAAGAUGGAUCCGGGUCUCAUUGGCUGGUUGGUAGGUUAACGGCUUACCAAGGGAACAAAGCUAGGCCGACCUGGGGGGGGGACGGGCCAAACUGGAACGAGGACAGGGCCCAGACUCCACGGGGAGGCGGCAGUAGGGAACUUUCGGAAUGGGGGGAAAGCCUGCCGGAGAAACGCGGGGUGGGGGAUGAAGGUCUUCGGAUCGUAAAACUCUGUUAUUAGGGAAGACGAAUUGUGUAAUUAACUAUGCACGUUUUGACGGUACCUAAUCAGAAAGCCACGGCUAACUACGUG
rnacentral:rRNA from 1 species